GGAGGAGGUACACAAACUCCCUGAGAACAGGAGUUAGUAAGGGGGAGAAAGUGGACACACACCGCAGGGGCAACAGUUGCUGUAGGCCUACAGUACAGAAACGGCUGCUGAUACGCCGAGUCAAAUUAUCUCACACAACACCUAUAGCGCUGGUCUCUCAGUCUGAACUUGAGCAGGCUCAUUAGAGGAAGAGCUGUAGACAAGGAGGCAAACAAGCGUCAGAAAAUCAUAUGAGAGCAGUGAGAAGAGGGGGAGGGUGAAAACAAGAAGCCGGAGUAGUGGUCUGUGAAACAUCGUGGGGACGGUUUUGUGUACAGCUGAAUUUGGUUCUCCUUGCAAAGACGAAUUAACAAGUGGAAACAGUGACACAAAUAAGUGGAGCACACAUUCACGGCAGAGGUGUAGCUGUGUGAGCUCUGUAAAGGCCUGUUUGCCUCCCUGAAAGCCAAACCUGAGGCAUUUGUUUUCCUAUCUCUGUGUGGGACCUGCAUCCGAGAGUCAGCAUGGUUAAUCAUGAGGUGGUGGAUAUUCUUCAGAAGGUGUUGAUCAAACUGCAGAAUCUCCCACAUGCCACUCCUCUGGAGCUGGGAGCCUUCUUGGUGCUCAUCCUGUUUGUUGCCACGUUUCUCUUGUUGGUUGUGCUGUCCUGCUUCCACUGCUGCUGCUGUGGAAAGUCAAAAUACCAGGCCACCAGAGUACAGCCUGUCUAAGGAUGAGACAGAGAACACACUCCGUCCUUCCUUCCAUCCUUCAUGUAAUCACCCACACACACACCGUUACAUAACCGGAAAUGCGCCUUUUCAGAGUCAUUGAUUUCUUGGAGGAAAUCAUACAAAUAAAAUUCAUCAACUCAAGGAUGGGGACUUAUUUGCAUAAUAUUUCCAGUUUUGGGACAAAGACUGGAUGUACAUUCCAGAGAGAGAGAGAGAGAGAGAGAGACAUGCCACUGGAAUCCAUAUAAAUCAGAAGAGUGGCACGACUCAUCAAGAUUCAUUUCAGACCAGUACAAUGCAACACUGUGUGGCAGCCUUGUACAACAACAAAAACCUAACAGUGGAGCAAGGGAUUUAAAAAAGGAAGAGUAAGAAAGCUGAUUUGUGUUUGAAUGUCACCAUGACUCCGUUAUUAGAAUAAACUGGUUUGGUAUCCUGUUGAUAUUCAUCAAGGAUAUGAAAAACAACAUGGAAUAUGUACAGACAUUUUAACUUGCGUUUGUGUAGAAACUAUCCAGUGUAAAAAGACAGUGCGCCCUCUGCUGGCUCAGUGAAGAGUGUCUCUUUUAUUUUUGCUAAUUGUGCCAAUGGAAAAAAAUAGCUUUUUAUUGUUUGACAUACAGUUACAAAUUAUUCUUGUUAUAUCGUUACAUAGUGUUUUUUUUGUCCUUUUUACCGAGGCAUUGCCAUAUUGCAUUUGUUGAUGUAACUGAAAUGUAAUAAAUGUUCAAUAUAUAUCAAAAUCAAA